rnacentral:lncRNA from 1 species
AUGAAGCCAAGCAUCCGAGUCACUCAGGUCCUCCUGGUGUUGGUUUUCCUCCAACUCACAGUAUCUCUGCCUGUCAGAGAGGAGGACGAGGUGGAGAACUUCCAGAGUCAGAUCAGACACUUGGAGGACUUCCAGUCUCCAACAGAAGACUUUGGCCAAACUCUGCUGGAAGCCUCCAUCAGACACAUGUUGGCUGCAGGUUUGCAGCGGAGGAGGCAACUGGGAGACCUGGAGUUCUCCAGCAGAUACACCGACUUCCUGCGGUCGAAGGCCAAACACAGCUCCAUCUGCGCGCUCCUACGCCGCAUGCAGGCGCUCAAAAAGAGCUCUGUGGGAGCAGACAUGGAGAAGGUCAAUCAGCUGCUGGAACAGUACAAGUGUCCAUCCGUCUCCCACAACUGGCUCACUGACCUGUAGAGGAGCUCAUUGUGUUCCUCAUGGAAACACCACCUAUUAAUAAAAACCUUUAUUUAACAAAGGCUAUUAGUGCA